rnacentral:rRNA from 1 species
UUAAGCGAAUAAGCGUACACGGUGGAUGCCUAGGCAAUCAGAGGCGAUGAAGGACGUGCUAAUCUGCGAAAAGCGUCGGUAAGGUGAUAUGAACCGCUAUACCCGACGAUAUCCGAAUGGGGAAACCCAGUAUCCAAUGGAUACUAUCAUUAACUGAAUCCAUAGGUUAAUGAGGCGAACCGGGAGAACUGAAACAUCUCAGUACCCCGAGGAAAAGAAAUCAACCGAGAUUCCCCUAGUAGCGGCGAGCGAACGGGGAGCAGCCCAGAGUCUUAAUCAAUAGCAGCGUCAGGAGAACGGUCUGGAAAGUCCGGCAGUAAAGGGUGAUAGCCCCGUAUCUGAAGAUGCUGUUAUUGUGAACUCGACGAGUAGGGCGGGACACGUGUUAUCCUGUCUGAAUAUGGGGGGACCAUCCUCCAAGGCUAAAUACUCCUGAUUGACCGAUAGUGAACCAGUACCGUGAGGGAAAGGCGAAAAGAACCCCGGCGAGGGGAGUGAAAAAGAACCUGAAACCGUGUACGUACAAGCAGUAGGAGCCUCUUUAUGGGGUGACUGCGUACCUUUUGUAUAAUGGGUCAGCGACUUAUAUUCUGUAGCGAGGUUAACCGUAUAGGGGAGCCGUAGGGAAACCGAGUCUUAACUGGGCGAAUGAGUUGCAGGGUAUAGACCCGAAACCCGGUGAUCUAUCCAUGGGCAGGUUGAAGGUUGGGUAACACUAACUGGAGGACCGAACCGACUAAUGUUGAAAAAUUAGCGGAUGACUUGUGGAUGGGGGUGAAAGGCCAAUCAAACCGGGAGAUAGCUGGUUCUCCCCGAAAGCUAUUUAGGUAGCGCCUCGUGAAUUCAUCUUCGGGGGUAGAGCACUGUUUCGACUAGGGGGUCAUCCCGACUUACCAACUCGAUGCAAACUGCGAAUACCGAAGAAUGUUAUCACGGGAGACACACGGCGGGUGCUAACGUCCGUCGUGAAGAGGGAAACAACCCAGACCGCCAGCUAAGGUCCCAAAGUCAUGGUUAAGUGGGAAACGAAGUGGGAAGGCUCAGACAGCCAGGAUGUUGGCUUAGAAGCAGCCAUCAUUUAAAGAAAGCGUAAUAGCUCACUGGUCGAGUCGGCCCGCGCGGAAGAUGUAACGGGGCUAAACCAUGCACCGAAGCUGCGGCAGCGACACAUAGUGUUGUUGGGUAGGGGAGCGUUCUGUAAGCCUGCGAAGGUGUACUGUGAGGUAUGCUGGAGGUAUCAGAAGUGCGAAUGCUGACAUAAGUAACGAUAAUGCGGGUGAAAAACCCGCACGCCGGAAGACCAAGGGUUCCUGUCCAACGUUAAUCGGGGCAGGGUGAGUCGACCCCUAAGGCGAGGCUGAAAAGCGUAGUCGAUGGGAAACGGGUUAAUAUUCCCGUACUGGUGGUAACUGCGAUGGGGGAACGGAGAAGGCUAGGUUGUCCGGGCGACGGUCGUCCCGGUUCAAGCAGGUAGGCAGAGUGAUUAGGCAAAUCCGGUCACUUAAUGCUGAGAUGUGAUGACGAACCACCAAGGUGGUGAAGCAAUUGAUGCCCCGCUUCCAGGAAAAGCCUCUAAGCUUCAGGUUACCAACAAUCGUACCCCAAACCGACACAGGUGGUCAGGUAGAGAAUACUCAGGCGCUUGAGAGAACUCGGGUGAAGGAACUAGGCAAAAUGGUGCCGUAACUUCGGGAGAAGGCACGCUGGCGGUAGGUAAAGUCCCUCGCGGACGGCGCUGAAGCCAGUCGAAGAUACCAGCUGGCUGCAACUGUUUAUUAAAAACACAGCACUGUGCAAACACGAAAGUGGACGUAUACGGUGUGACGCCUGCCCGGUGCUGGAAGGUUAAUUGAUGGGGUUAGCGCAAGCGAAGCUCCUGAUCGAAGCCCCAGUAAACGGCGGCCGUAACUAUAACGGUCCUAAGGUAGCGAAAUUCCUUGUCGGGUAAGUUCCGACCUGCACGAAUGGCGUAAUGAUGGCCAGGCUGUCUCCACCCGAGACUCAGUGAAAUUGAACUCGCUGUGAAGAUGCAGUGUACCCGCGGCAAGACGGAAAGACCCCGUGAACCUUUACUAUAGCUUGACACUGAACAUUGAGCCUUGAUGUGUAGGAUAGGUGGGAGGCUUUGAAGUGUGGACGCCAGUCUGCAUGGAGCCAACCUUGAAAUACCACCCUUUAACGUUUGAUGUUCUAACCUAGGCCCAUAAACUGGGUCGGGGACCGUGUCUGGUGGGUAGUUUGACUGGGGCGGUCUCCUCCUAAAGAGUAACGGAGGAGCACGAAGGUUGGCUAAGCAUGGUCGGACAUCAUGUGGUUAGUGCAAAGGCAUAAGCCAGCUUGACUGCGAGAGUGACGGCUCGAGCAGGUACGAAAGUAGGUCUUAGUGAUCCGGUGGUUCUGAAUGGAAGGGCCAUCGCUCAACGGAUAAAAGGUACUCCGGGGAUAACAGGCUGAUACCGCCCAAGAGUUCAUAUCGACGGCGGUGUUUGGCACCUCGAUGUCGGCUCAUCACAUCCUGGGGCUGAAGUAGGUCCCAAGGGUAUGGCUGUUCGCCAUUUAAAGUGGUACGCGAGCUGGGUUUAGAACGUCGUGAGACAGUUCGGUCCCUAUCUGCCGUGGGCGUUGGAAGAUUGAGAGGGGUUGCUCCUAGUACGAGAGGACCGGAGUGAACGCACCACUGGUGUUCGGGUUGUCAUGCCAAUGGCAUUGCCCGGUAGCUAAGUGCGGAAGAGAUAACCGCUGAAAGCAUCUAAGCGGGAAACUUGCCUCGAGAUGAGUCUUCCCUGUCGCUUUAAGCGACCUAAAGGAACGUUUAAGACUAAGACGUUGAUAGGCUGGGUGUGUAAGCGUAGCGAUACGUUGAGCUAACCAGUACUAAUGAACCGUGAGGCUUAACC